GACUCGAGUUGAUUUGAUUGUUAAAAUAUGGAGUCUUGUAUUCAAUGUUGAAUGAAUAUUUAAACGACUUCCGCACAGUUUUGUUUAAGCUGGGCAUUGAAAGGGAGAGCCACUCCAGUGAAUAAUAAAUAAAGUGAUCGGAUAUUGAUUUUGUUGAUCGAUCCGGCGGGUCGGUUGGAACUGUUGGUAUGUUUUACCUAUGUUGAAGGUGUGAUUGUACAGCAAGGUGGGUCAGUGUUUCAGGUGAGAGACAGGUGAAAAUGGCUGGGCCAGACGGUCAGGUGAAUAGAUUGAACAGUGACCUUGAACCGACCUUCAAGAAUACGUUCCACCAGGACAGCAUAUUCGGGAAUGCAUUCUCGUGCAAGGCCAAUUAUGUCGUACACCCGGAGUGGGUAUCAGAGGGGGUGUCAAGGCCGCCAUCACAGCCCCUCCAGCGCCCUCCGUGGCCUUGUGAGCAGCCCCGGUACCGACGAGUACA